UAAAACGUAGGAUCCGAGCGUUAUCCGAAUUCACUGGGCGUAAAGCGCGUGCAGGCGGAUCAGUAAGUUGGAUGUAAAAUCUCCUGGCUCAACUGGGAGGGGACGUACAAGACUGCUGGACUAGAGGAUGGCAGAGGAAGGUGGAAUUCCCGGUGUAGUGGUGAAAUGCGUAGAUAUCGGGAGGAACACCAGAGGCGAAGGCGGCCUUCUGGGCCAUACCUGACGCUCAGACGCGAAAGCUAGGGUAGCAAACGGGAUUAGAAACCCCGGUAGUCCUAGCCGUAAACGAUGUAGACUUGGUGUUGGGUGUGUAAAAACACACAGUGCCGAAGCAAACGCGAUAAGUCUACCGCCUGGGGACUACGGCCGCAAGGUUAAAACUUAAAUGAAUUGACGG
rnacentral:rRNA from 1 species